GUAAACUGCUUGAAUGGCCUAUUAGUUUAUUUCAUUUAGGUGCAAUCACGCGGGGGAGAAGCGCACCUGGCAGCAGCUUAGGAUGAAAUAUAAAAACAUUGUUCAAACAGCCAACAGAAAGAAAGCAGAUGCCCGUAUAACGGGUGGCGGCCGAGCACCGCCACCUCUAACGGAGGCAGAGGCGCUGGCCCUGAGCCAGAAUUUUGGAAGGCCAGCGACUGAGGGAAUCCCUGGAGGGAGCUCAUCCUCUGAGCCCACCCCCCAAGACACAAGUGCUUUUUAUAACAUAUUCUGAUGGUGCGAUCUGCCUGGUGGAGCCCCCUCACGCCACAACAGACCUUGUAACUGAUGAAGAGUACGAGGAGACUUUGUCUGCUGCCUUCACAGAGGGGGAACCAGAAAGGCCUAUAGAGGGCAUGGCUGGGCAGCAGCAGGAGGGUCCCUCAACUUCAACUGCACAGAUUGACACAGUGAGAUGGAUGUUCAGUAAACACCAGAGGUUCAUUCUGUGGAAUUCAUGUGCAACUGUAUAAUUUAAUGUCCUCCUUAUGUAUUCCCAGUUACCAGUUAAAGAUAUCUACAAAAUAUUUCUUCUGAAAAAAAUUGAAAAAACCAACAAAGAAAUGCAGUUCUUGGACCGCCAGAUGAGAAGGGCAGAUCUCGAAAUUGAAUUACUAGAGCACAAGUUAGAGG